rnacentral:RNase_P_RNA from 1 species
AAGGCGGGUCGGACGGUCGCCCCGGUUGUUCCGGGGAGGAAAGUCCGGGCACCACAGGGCAAGGCACUCGUUAAGCGCGAGGCGGUAUGCGGGUGACCGCAUGCCGACGGAAAGUGUCACAGAAACGACACCGCCCGCACCGGUUGAGGUUGCCGGUGCAGGUAAGGGUGAAAAAGUGCGGUAAGAGCGCACUAUCCGGUAUGGUGACAUGCCGGAUGGACAAACCCUGCCUGGUGCAAGACCAACAGGGAAGAGGACUUGCCCGGUCCGUCUGAUUCCCGGGUAGGUUGCUUGAGGCUGACGGGCAACUGUCAGUCCCAGAGAAAUGACCGUCGCCCCGCAAGGGGUACAGAACCCGGCUUACAGACCCGCCUUCACC